AUUGAACGCUGGCGGCAGGCCUAACACAUGCAAGUCGAGCGGGAACUUCGGUUCUAGCGGCGGACGGGUGAGUAAUGCGUAGGAAGCUACCCGACAGAGGGGGAUACCAGUUGGAAACGACUGUUAAUACCGCAUAAUGUCUACGGACCAAAGCGUGGGACCUUCGGGCCACAUGCUGUCGGAUGCACCUACGUGGGAUUAGCUAGUUGGUGAGGUAAUGGCUCACCAAGGCGACGAUCCCUAGCUGGUUUGAGAGGGUGAACAGCCACACUGGAAAUGAGAAACGGUACAGACUCCUACGGGAGGCAGCAGUGGGGAAUAUUGGACAAUGGGCGAAAGCCUGAUCCAGCCAUGCCGCGUGGGUGAAGAAAGCCUUCGGGUUGUAAAUCACUUUCAGUAGGGAGGAAGAGUUGAGUGUUAAUAGUACUCAGCUUUGACGUUACCUACAGAAGAAGCACCGGCUAACUCUGUGCCAGCCGCCGCAGUAAUAC
rnacentral:rRNA from 1 species